AUUGAACGCUGGCGGCAGGCCUAACACAUGCAAGUCGAGCGGAGCGGCGGACGGGUGAGUAAUGCCUAGGAAUCUGCCUGGUAGUGGGGGAUAACGUCCGGAAACGGGCGCUAAUACCGCAUACUAUCAGAUGAGCCUAGGACGGAUUAGCUAGUUGGUGGGGUAAAAGCCUACCAAAGCUGCGAUCCGUAACUGGUAUGAGUGGAGGAUCAGUAACACUGGAACUGAGACAAGGUGCAGACUCAUACGUGAGGCAGCAGUGGGGUAUAUUGGACAAUGGGCGAAAGCCUGAUCCAGCAAUGCCGGGUGUAUGAAGAAGGUCUUCGGAUUGGAAAGCACUUUAAGUUGGGAGGCGUUACCAACAGAAUACGCACCGGCUAACUUCGUGCCAGCAGCCGCGGUAAAAC
rnacentral:rRNA from 1 species